CCCUUAGAUGUUCUGGGCCGCACGCGCGCUACAAUGAUGAAUUCAACGAGUUUAUAGCCUUGGUUGAAAAGCCUGGGUAAUCUUUUGAACUUUCGUCGUGAUGGGGCUAGACCCUUGCAAUUAUUGGUCUCCAACGAGGAAUUCCUAGUAAACGCAAGUCAUCAGCUUGCAUUGAUUACGUCCCUGCCCUUUGUACACACCGCCCGUCGCUCCUACCGAUUGAAUGCUCAGGUGAGCCAUUCGGACCUUCAUCAUGCCGGUUUCCGGUUUUGAUGAGGGAAAGUCUUGCGAACCUUAUCAUUUAGAGGAAGGAGAAGUCGUAACA
rnacentral:rRNA from 1 species